rnacentral:rRNA from 1 species
GACGAACGCUGGCGGCGUGCUUAACACAUGCAAGUCGAACGGAAAGGCCCUGCUUUUGUGGGGUGCUCGAGUGGCGAACGGGUGAGUAACACGUGAGUAACCUGCCCUUGACUUUGGGAUAACUUCAGGAAACUGGGGCUAAUACCGGAUAGGAGCUCCUGCUGCAUGGUGGGGGUUGGAAAGUUUCGGCGGUUGGGGAUGGACUCGCGGCUUAUCAGCUUGUUGGUGGGGUAGUGGCUUACCAAGGCUGUGACGGGUAGCCGGCCUGAGAGGGUGACCGGCCACAUUGGGACUGAGGUACGGCCCAGACUGCUACGGGAGGCAGCAGUGGGGAAUAUUGCACAAUGGGCGGGAGCCAGAUGCAGCAGCGCCGCGUGCGUGAUGACGGCCUUCGGGUUGUAAACCGCUUUCGCCGGUGACGAAGCGUGAGUGACGGUAAUGGGUAAAGAAGCACCGGCUAACUACGUG